GGGUGUGUAGCUCAGUAGGUUAGAGUACCCGCGUGACAUGCGGGAGGUCACUGGUUCAAACCCAGUCACACCAA
rnacentral:tRNA from 1 species